AUAGUUAUUAAUCUUGGUUGGU
rnacentral:miRNA from 1 species